UCGAGAAUAAUUCGCAAUGGACGAAAGUCUGACGAUGCGACGCCGUGUGAACGAUGAAGGCCUUCGGGUUGUAAAGUUCUGUCAACUUGGAACAAGGUAUGCCGAGGAAUAUUCGGCAUGCUUGAGGGUACAAGAGUAGGAAGCACCGGCUAACUCCGUGCCAGCAGCUGCGGUAAUACGGAGGGUGCAAGCGUUAGUCGGAAUUACUGGGCGUAAAGAGCGCGUAGGCGGGGAUGUAAGUCAAACGUGAAAUUUCGGAGCUCAACUCCGAAGCUGCAUUUGAAACUACAUUUCUUGAGGAAUGACGGAGAAAGUAGAAUUCCACGUGUAGCGGUGAAAUGCGUAGAUAUGUGGAAGAAUACCUGUGGCGAAAGCGACUUUCUAGUCUAAACCUGACGCU
rnacentral:rRNA from 1 species